rnacentral:rRNA from 1 species
AGUGAACGCUGGCGGCGUGCCUAAUACAUGCAAGUCGAACGGAGUGGCGCACGGGUGAGUAAUGUAUAGUUAAUCUGCCCUACACUAGAGGACAACAGUUGGAAACGGCCGCUAAUACCCCAUAGUGUAGGAUGAGGCUAUAUUGUAUCAGCUAGUUGGUGAGGUAAUGGCUCACCAAGGCUAUGACGCAUAACUGGUCUGAGAGGAUGAUCAGUCACACUGAAACUGAGACACGGUCCAGGCUCCUACGGGAUGCAGCAGUAGGGAAUAUUGCUCAAUGGGGGAAACCCUGAAGCAGCAACGCCGCGUGGAGGAUGACACUUUUCGGGGCAUAAACUCCUUUUGAUAGGGAGGCGGUACCUGACGAAUAAGCACCGGCUAACUCCGUGCCAGCAGCCGCGGUAAUUC